AUUGCCUCAGUAACGGCGAGUGAAGCGGCAACAGCUCAAAUUUGAAAUCUGGCCCUAGGCCCGAGUUGUAAUUUGCAGAGGAUGCUUUUGGCAAGGUGCCUUCCGAGUUCCCUGGAACGGGACGCCAUAGAGGGUGAGAGCCCCGUCUGGUCGGACACCGAGCCUCUGUAAAGCUCCUUCGACGAGUCGAGUAGUUUGGGAAUGCUGCUCAAAAUGGGAGGUAUAUGUCUUCUAAAGCUAAAUACCGGCCAGAGACCGAUAGCGCACAAGUAGAGUGAUCGAAAGAUGAAAAGCACUUUGAAAAGAGAGUUAAAUAGCACGUGAAAUUGUUGAAAGGGAAGCGUUUAUGACCAGACUUGGCCCGGUUGAUCAUCCAGCCUUCUGGCUGGUGCACUCUGCCGGUCCAGGCCAGCAUCAGUUCGUCGCGGGGGAUAAAGGUUUCGGGAAUGUAGCUCCUCCGGGAGUGUUAUAGCCCGUUGCGUAAUACCCUGCGGUGGACUGAGGUCCGCGCUCUGCAAGGAUGCUGGCGUAAUGGUCAUCAACGACCCGUCUUGAAACACGGACCAAGGAGUCGUCUUCGUAUGCGAGUGUUCGGGUGUAAAACCCCUACGCGUAAUGAAAGUGAACGCAGGUGAGAGCUUCGGCGCAUCAUCGACCGAUCCUGAUGUUCUCGGAUGGAUUUGAGUAAGAGCAUACGGGGCCGGACCCGAAAGAAGGUGAACUAUGCCUGUAUAGGGUGAAGCCAGAGGAAACUCUGGUGGAGGCUCGCAGCGGUUCUGACGUGCAAAUCGAUCGUCAAAUAUGGGCAUGGGGGCGAAAGACUAAU
rnacentral:rRNA from 2 species